rnacentral:rRNA from 1 species
UGGGGAAUUUUGGACAAUGGGCGCAAGCCUGAUCCAGCAAUGCCGCGUGCAGGAUGAAGGCCUUCGGGUUGUAAACUGCUUUUGUACGGAACGAAAAGCUUCUGGUUAAUACCUGGGAGUCAUGACGGUACCGUAAGAAUAAGCACCGGCUAACUACGUGCCAGCAGCCGCGGUAAUACGUAGGGUGCGAACGUUAAUCGGAAUUACUGGGCGUAAAGCGUGCGCAGGCGGUUAUGUAAGACAGAGGUGAAAUCCCCGGGCUCAACCUGGGAACUGCCUUUGUGACUGCAUGGCUAGAGUGCGGCAGAGGGGGAUGGAAGUCCGCGUGUAGCAGUGAAAUGCGUAGAUAUGCGGAGGAACACCGAUGGCGAAGGCAAUCCCCUGGGCCUGCACUGACGCUCAUGCACAAAAGCGUGGGGAGCAAACA